rnacentral:rRNA from 1 species
AGGUCGUAACAAGGUUUCCGUAGGUGAACCUGCGGAAGGAUCAUUAGUGAAUCUUCAAAGUCGGCUUGUUCAUACUGUGCUGGUGGAGACACAUGUGCACGUUGCAAGUCGCAAAUCCCACACACCUGUGCAUCUAUGACUCUGAGUACCGCUCUGCAUGGCCUUGACCAGGCCUGGUACUCGAGUACUUUCACACACACUCUUGAAUGUAAUGGAAUGUCUAUUGUGCAUAAUGUACAACUUAAAACAACUUUCAACAACGGAUCUCUUGGCUCUCGCGUCGAUGAAGAACGCAGCGAAAUGCGAUAAGUAAUGUGAAUUGCAGAAUUCAGUGAAUUAUCGAAUCUUUGAACGCACCUUGCACCCUUUGGUAUUCCGAAGGGUACACCCGUUUGAGUGUCAUUGUAAUCUCACUACAAUCGACUUUAUUGUCUUUUGUAUGUGGACUUGGAUGCUGCCGUGGAAUCAACGGCUCGUCUGAAAUGCCUCAGUGUACCCCACCUUGUGGCGUAUUCGGUGUGAUACAUCUUCACCGGAGUUGAUCCUUUUGAAUCGCGCUUGUAAUGGUGUGGCUCUAUGCUUCCAACCGUCUUAAUCGACAAUCUCUGACAAUUUGACCUCAAAUCGGGUGGGACUACCUGCUGAACUUAAGCAUAUCAAUAAGCGGAGGAAAAGAAACUAACAAGGAUUCCCCUAGUAACGGCGAGUGAAGAGGGAAAGGCUCAAAUUUUGAAUCUGGUGUCUUUGGCGCCCGAGUUGUAAUCUAGAGAAGUGUUUUCCGUGUCGGACCGUGCACAAGUUCCCUGGAACGGGGCGUCAUAGAGGGUGAGAAUCCCGUAUAUGGCACGGACUGCCGAUGCUUUGUGAUACACUCUCAACGAGUCGAGUUGUUUGGGAAUGCAGCUCAAAAUGGGUGGUAAAUUCCAUCUAAAGCUAAAUAUUGGCGAGAGACCGAUAGCGAACAAGUACCGUGAGGGAAAGAUGAAAAGCACUUUGGAAAGAGAGUGAAACAGUACGUGAAAUUGUUGAAAGGGAAGCGUUUGAAGUCAGUCAUGUUUGGCGGGAUUCGGCUUGGGCUUCUGCUCGGUCUACUUUCCGUCCGAUGGGUCAGCAUCAAUUUCGACCGAGGGAAAAAGGCGCAAGGAAUGUGGCUGGCUGUCUUCGGGCAGUGUUAUAGCCCUGUGUUGUAUGUCUUGGUUGGGAUUGAGGAACGCAGCGCGCCUUAGUGGCCGGGGGUUCACUCCUCUCGACACGCGCUUAGGAUGCUGGCAUAAUGGCUUUAAGCGACC